AACCACAUCAUAUCACUCUGCAGCCCAAAACCAGUUACUCACUAAAGCUAAGCAGGGCUGAGCCUGCUCAGUACAUGGAUGGGAGGCCACAUGGGAAAACUAGGUUGCUGUCGGAA
ensembl:rRNA 5S_rRNA 5S ribosomal RNA